AUGAUGCAGGAUCAAAUAUCUGCAGCUGGCUGGGAACUAAAUAUUCUCCGGUUUGACCCACCUUGGCAAGAGCAUUCAACAGUAUCAGGUUUAGCUCCGUCUUCCUUGUUGUCACCCAAGUUGGUUGCCACAUGUUCGGCGCAUAUAAUCCACUCGCCCGAGCUGGUAGAAUGCGACUCCGAGAUCCUGAUCGUUGGCUAUAGAAAAGUGACGGAGAUGAUCAUUUACAGACUAGCUGAUCUUGCCCGAGGAAAGAUUGUCCCAGUAAAAAGCAUAGGUGGCAAUGCUCUUCUGUUUGGUACUAAAGGGAACCCGAGUUUUAGUUUGUCGGCGGUGCCUACCAUCACGGGUGAUACCAUUGUGGUUGCAAAUUGCAUCCCUGACAAAUAUAUCUUGCAAUACCACCUCAGCAGCGACACCUGGUCAGCUAGAGUUGGGGGAUGUGCAGAACAUGGUUGCAACAUGGAGUGUACUUGUAGCCUCAUUAACCAUAUGUGCAAUUCAUGUCAUUGCGUUUUUAAGUGA
rnacentral:rRNA from 1 species